UUCCGGUUGAUCCCGCCGGAGGUCACUGCUAUCGGGGUUCGAUUAAGCCAUGCGAGUCGAGAGGGUUCGGCCCUCGGCGUACUGCUCAGUAACACGUGGAUAACCUGCCCUAGGGGAGGGGAUAACCCCGGGAAACUGGGGAUAAUACCCUAUAGGUUACAGAUGCUGGAAUGCCCUGUAACCAAAAGCUCCGGCGCCCUAGGAUGGAUCUGCGGCCGAUUAGGUUGUUGUUGGGGUAACGGCCCAACAAGCCCGUAAUCGGUACGGGUUGUGGGAGCAAGAGCCCGGAGUUGGAUUCUGAGACACGAAUCCAGGCCCUACGGGGCGCAGCAGGCGCGAAACCUUUACAAUGCGGGCAACCGUGAUAAGGGAACCUCGAGUGCCUGUAAACGCAGGCUGUUCAGGUGUUUAAAACGCACCUGGAGAAAGGGCCGGGCAAGACCGGUGCCAGCCGCCGCGGUAAUACCGGCGGCUCGAGUGGUGGCCGCUUUUAUUGGGAUUAAAGCGUUCGUAGCUGGGUUGUUAAGUCUCUUGGGAAAUCUGGCGGCUUAACCGUCAGGCGUCUAAGGGAUACUGGCAAUCUUGGAACCGGGAGAGGUGAGGGGUACUUCGGGGGUAGGGGUGAAAUCCUGUAAUCCUCGAGGGACCACCUGUGGCGAAGGCGCCUCACCAGAACGGCUUCGGCAGUGAGGGACGAAAGCUGGGGGAGCAAACCGGAUUAGAUACCCGGGUAGUCCCAGCCGUAAACGAUGCGCGUUAGGUGUAUCGGUGACCACGAGUUACCGAGGUGCCGAAGGGAAACCGUGAAACGCGCCGCCUGGGAAGUACGGUCGCAAGGCUGAAACUUAAAGGAAUUGGCGGUGGAGCACCACAACGGGUGGAGCCUGCGGUUUAAUUGGAUUCAACGCCGGGAAUCACUAGUGCGGCCGCCUGCAGGUCGACCAUAUGGG
rnacentral:rRNA from 1 species